rnacentral:lncRNA from 1 species
UUACCAUAGUACAGAUUCAGAUAAAACUCUCUAACCAAAUCUACAUAUGUAACUUCUUUAAGUAAACAGUAAAAUCCCCAACCCUGGUUUUUGAUCUUUGAACCAAUGGAGAAUCCCUUAUUUUCAAAAAAUCUGAAGUCAACAUUUUUUCCAGUUUCUACCUUUCUGACAGAUAGAGAAAUUUUACUAGGGCUGAGAGG